rnacentral:rRNA from 1 species
AAUAGAUACCCCGGUAGUCCACGCCGUAAACGAUGAGUGCUAAGUGUUAGAGGGUUUCCGCCCUUUAGUGCUGAAGUUAACGCAUUAAGCACUCCGCCUGGGGAGUACGGCCGCAAGGCUGAAACUCAAAGGAAUUGACGGGGGCCCGCACAAGCGGUGGAGCAUGUGGUUUAAUUCGAAGCAACGCGAAGAACCUUACCAGGUCUUGACAUCCUCUGACAACUCUAGAGAUAGAGCGUUCCCCUUCGGGGGACAGAGUGACAGGUGGUGCAUGGUUGUCGUCAGCUCGUGUCGUGAGAUGUUGGGUUAAGUCCCGCAACGAGCGCAACCCUUGAUCUUAGUUGCCAGCAUUAAGUUGGGCACUCUAAGGUGACUGCCGGUGACAAACCGGAGGAAGGUGGGGAUGACGUCAAAUCAUCAUGCCCCUUAUGACCUGGGUUACACACGUGCUACAAUGGAUGGUACAAAGGGCUGCAAGACCGCGAGGUCAAGCCAAUCCCAAUAAAACCAUUCUCAGUUCGGAUUGUAGGCUGCAACUCG